CCCAUCUCCUGUCACUAUGACAACUCACAAAAAGGAGAUAUAAAAAGAAUGGCAAAAGGCAGAAAAGAUGGGUUCAAGAGAAAAUCCUGUAGGUAAACACCAGCUGAAACAUCAAAUAAGGAGCAAAGCUAGUGUUUUGGCAGGGGCAAUUGACUUUUUGGCUUUUUAAAUCUAUAUGUUCGUGUAGAAGGAAACUGUGGAGUAUUUUUGAAAAUUGGAGUGGUGCGGAGAGCUCUGAGCUCUCGAAUGCUAGAUUGGGGUGGAGGAAGUUCAUCUUGCUUCAUCAUUUGUUCAUGUGUAGCUUAGGUAAGCCCCUGAUUCUUAUGGUGUACUCCAGUUUGGCCCAAGCUUUGUUAAUCCGCAUACAGCUGAAGUUAGUGAACAGCUUGGACAGUGUAUCUGGGGAAUACUGAAAAAAACAAAUAUUCAAAGCAAAGGAUUGUCCAAAAGGGUGAUGGCGUCUCCAAUUAUCCACCCUCCAAUCUCUGUUGGAAAGGAAUUUGAAAUUAGCUUCAAAACCAAUUAAAAGGAAAAAGUCUGCAUCUAAUCCGUCAAAGCAAUCAGCCUCCUGGACCAGGCAGAAAAUGGUUUCUUCCCUUGCCCAAACUUCAACAUUCUAAGUUUUGAAAAUCAUUGAUUCUAGAAAGUUCUCCGAAUCUGAACUCCAAGAGGGUUUUCCAAUUUUUUCGUGAAGUGUUGGUAUCAUACUUCGAUGAUAAGAAGGCUCAGAUCAAAUCUGGAUUCUUAAAAGAAACACUUAAAAGGCAACCAUGGAUAGGCCAUAGCUUGUUUGGCUUCCUUGUUGAGAAAUGUGGAAGUGCCAAGUCCGACUUUCGUCUUUAGUCGAUGCCCUUGAUUUGAUAACAGAAAUAUUGAAGUCUUCGUCAGAUAAACUACCUCAUCUAGUGAAAGAGUUGGUUGCAAACAUGCCAAGCAAACACAGGGAAGGCAGGCAGAAGUGAGGAAGUUUUGUGUGAAGGUCCUUGAGACCUUGUCUGCAUUUAAACUAACCAAGUCUUUUAUCAAAAACUUGACCCCUGAAGCUCAUGCUACGCUUAAGUCACAACUAGGUGAGCAGUUCCAAGUGAAGGUUCCAAAGAGAUUGAGGAUGCAGUUGCAGAUUUAAGGACAGUAUGUCAGGGGACAAUGUGGAGGAAAUUAAGGCCAAGGUUGAUGCUGCUAACAGGGCAGUCUCCAAGAUUGGUCACAUAUGUCAGGUGGUUCUAGUGGCAGUUCAUCUUCUUCUGGAGGAUCUCAGGGUGGUGACCAGGCUCCUGAGGCUGAAUAUGAAGAGGUCAAGAAGUGAAAAAAUGUAGUUGUAGUCAUUUGUAGCUCUUUACUUAUGACCUAGAAUCAGUGAUUACAGAAUUAUUAAUAUUUGCGAAUAGAGUAUGAUUUUCAUCAAACUGUUUUGUAUUUAAUGUUUGAGGGUCAUUUUUAUGAUGAGGCUGUUCACUGGUGUAA